AUGGUGAAUGCAAAAUUUGUUUAUUAAACAGAGGUGUAUCAUUACUAAGUCCAUUUUGUGGGCACAAGUUAUGUUUAUAUUGUGCAAAUAACUUAAUAACUCAAGCACAAAACAAUAAAGCUAAUCCUCUUCAUUGUAAAUUUUGCGGAAAGAAAACAAACCACUUUGAAAAAAAUAUUAAGGUGUUUAAUCAAUUCGAUGUGAGACAUUUGAAAGGUUUAAUUACGUUGUUAUAGUAUGUAUACAUUAUUUAGAUUAUUUUUAUUUUUUGAGUUUCUGAAUUAGUUCAACAAGGGUAUUAACCCAUUAUUGUUUGUAUCUGAAUUGAUAAUACACACAGAGUAAAUUAACAAUCUUGGGGAACGUUAAUUUUUUUAUUAAGGUGUUAAAUAGUUUUGAAUAUCAAGUAUUUUCAAAUUUUUUAUUUAUAAGAUACAUUUUAGUUAUAUACGUUAUAAUUAUAGAUUUGACCUGAUAGUAUUAUUUUUGCUAUUAAU